rfam:Felis catus isolate Cinnamon breed Abyssinian chromosome D1, whole genome shotgun sequence.
GCCUGGGUGGCUCAGUUGGUUGAGCGUCUGACUUCGGCUCAGGUCAUGAUCUCGUGGUGUGUGGGUCUGAGCCCCGUGUCGGGCU